ensembl:ncRNA F49E10.20 ncRNA
CUGUGUGUGUCUCUAUAUGUGUGAGAGAAUAUAUGCGCGCGCAUGUGUGGCGUGCAGCUAACCAGUAUUUGACAUGAAUUAGAUAUGUGAGCAACUGCAAUGGGAAAAUAGUGAAGAAGCGCCGGGCCGCCGGACGGCGUCUACAACAAC